AUUGUAGAUUGAGAAGAAUGAGGUUCUGGAAUACUCUAGCUCCCAACUGGAUACUCUGAAAAGAUUGUCUGAGGUCGGAAGUAAAGGAAAUACCCUUUGUGUGAA